GACAGCGUGGCCGAGUGGUCUAAGGCAAUCGAUUCGAAAUCGAUGGACUUUGUCCCCGCAGGUUCGAAUCCUGCCGUUGUCG
rnacentral:tRNA from 2 species